UAAAGAAAGCGUAAUAGCUCACUGGUCGAGUCGGCCUGCGCGGAAGAUGUAACGGGGCUAAACCAUGCACCGAAGCUGCGGCAGCGACACUGUGUGUUGUUGGGUAGGGGAGCGUUCUGUAAGCCUGUGAAGGUGUGUCGUGAGGCAUGCUGGAGGUAUCAGAAGUGCGAAUGCUGACAUAAGUAACGAUAAAGCGGGUGAAAAGCCCGCUCGCCGGAAGACCAAGGGUUCCUGUCCAACGUUAAUCGGGGCAGG
rnacentral:rRNA from 1 species